rnacentral:rRNA from 1 species
CACGGAGUUAGCCGAUCCUUAUUCUUCAGGUACAUUCAGCUUCCCACACGUGGAAAGGUUUAUUCCCUGACAAAAGCAGUUUACAACCCAUAGGGCAGUCAUCCUGCACGCGGCAUGGCUGGUUCAGAGUUCCCUCCAUUGACCAAUAUUCCUUACUGCUGCCUCCCGUAGGAGUCUGGUCCGUGUCUCAGUACCAGUGUGGGGGAUUCUCCUCUCAGAGCCCCUAGACAUCGUAGCCUUGGUGGGCCGUUACCCCUCCAACUAGCUAAUGUCACGCGAGCCCAUCCAUAUCCUAUAAAUAUUUGAUCAUAAUCCGAUGCCGUAAAUGAUGUAUGCGGUGUUAAUCUCUCUUUCGAGAGGCUAUCCCCUGAUAUGGGUAGGUUGCUCACGCGUUACGCACCCGUGCGCCACUCUCAUGAAAUCAAAGCAAGCUUUAAUUUCAAUUCCCGUCCGACUUGCAUGUAUUAGGCCUGCGCUAGCGUUCAUCC